UCACUUACCUGGACGGGGUCAAUGUGCUAUCAAGAAGGUCCAUGGCCUAGGUUGGUGACCUUCAUUGCACUUUGGAGGGGUGCCUGCCUAAAGUCGGCCCAGGUGGUCGAGCCUAUGUCAUAAUUUGUGCCAGCGGGGGCCUGCGUUCGCGCGGCCCUCAC
rnacentral:snRNA from 1 species